rnacentral:lncRNA from 1 species
GCAUGCCUUUGGCCCACAGCCUUGUAAAAUAAGGAAAACACUCAAGGGAGGAAAAACUGAUGCGAAAUUGUGCACCUCCACCCUGGAUUCAUCUCUAGUCCAGCCCCUGAUAUCGCCUUUCUAUAAAUAUUGGACCCUCAGCCCAAGGCACAGCUUCUCACUCUUGAGACAGCCCAUAUUUUCUCUUGAAUGUAUAUCUAUCUUCCUAAAUAAACUACUGUCUUUGCCUUAAAGAAAAAAAGUUUGCCAUGCUAGUGGGAACACCUUAGGAAGGUGGGAUGCAAAGGGCUAGAACUGAGAGAGGCUGGACCAUAUUGGCCAACUAUAAGCAGGGAGAACAGAAUUAAAUUGGGAUCAAGUCCUAACAAAAAUUGCUCAUCCUGUUCAAGAGUUUUCACUCUUCCUUUAGAUAAGAUGAAGCCAUUGGAGCAUUUUCAACUAAGAAAGGGAAUAGCAGAUUUAUGGGUUUAUUAAUUGUAAAGAAGCAAGAAAAAAGGACUCGAGAUGUGGCUCAAUGGUCGAGUGCCCCUGAGUUCAAUUCCUGGUACUUCCCCUCGCCAAAAAAAAAAGGUAAAAAAAAAAAAAGAGGUCCUGAUGUGUUGAAUGUGAGUAUUAGAUGAAAAAGACGAAAGUAGAGACGCUUGAUGGGUUCAAUAUUUUAGGAAAAGAGAAUUUAGUGUUUUACUUGUAAGUAAGAUGUUUGCCACAUAAGUAUAAUGAUAUUUUUACCAGUGCCCUUUAACAAAUUAAGAAAUUCCAGGCUGGGGAUAUAGCUCAGUUGUCAGUUGGUAGAGUGCCUGCUUCAUAUGCACAAGGCCAAUCUCCAGCACCACAAAAAAAAAAAAAAAAAAUUCUUUCUAAUUCUAGUUUUCUAAGACAAUCCCAACUCCCCACCCCUGCACCUUUUGUACUAGGGAUUGAAUGCCAGGGCACUUUACCACUGAGCUACACACCCAGCCCAUUUAUUUAUUUAUGUAGAGAUAAGGUCUCACUUAGGACUCAGUCCUUGCCCCCACGCCAGUCCAAUAAGGAGGACACAGUUGUUGUUGUUGUUUUUAACACCUUUAUUUAUUUUUUAAUAUUUAUUUUUUAGUUAUAGGUGGACACAAUAUUUUUAUGUGGUGCUGAGGAUCAAACCCAGUGCCUCACACAUGGUAGGUGAGCGCUCUGCCUCUGAGCCACAACCCCAGCCCCUAUUUUGCUUAUUUAGUUUUUUAUGUGGUGCUGAGAAUCCUGAGCAAAAAUCCCAGCCUGAGGACACAGUUCUGAUAAAAAGGAAAAAGACGUUUUAUUGCUUUGCUAACAGAGAAACACUGGAGACGCCUGUUCUAGAAGCUGUGAUUCUGUCCAUCAGGGAGUACAGAGGGCUUUUAAAGAAGUGAUUCAGAAGCUACAUUCCAUGAGUUCUUUGUCAGAGUGGUAAUUCACUUGUUAAUUUGGGAGACAGUUAUUUCUGAGAUUUUUCUGGUGCUCAAGGUCAGAAAACUGCCUAGGACCUGGAAGAAAGGUAACCCUGUUUCCCCUGAGAUUAGGGGAACAGGAGAGUUUAGGGAGGAGAAGAAACAGAAGAAAAGAAAAAAUCACAUUCUUUUAAAAAUAAGUCACAAUGGCAGGGCAGCAAGGGUGAUAUUCAAAGCCUAAAGUGGACCACUGUUAGGCUACCACAAAGGUACAUCCCUGGCCUGUUUUACUUUUGAUAUUUAUAUUGAGACAGGGUCUCCCUAAAUUGUUGAGGAUGGCCUCAAAUUUGUAAUCCUCCUACCUCAGCCUCUGGGAUUCCAGGCAUCUGCGACCAUAAGGAGCACAUCCUUGGUCUUUCACUAUCAUGUUGAUUAAUUUUUUUCGAUGCUGAGGAUUGAACCCAAGACCUUGCACAUUCUAGGCAAUACCUUAUCACUGAACUACAUCCCACCCCUUUUUUUUUUUCUUUUAACUCGUUUUGAAACAGGUUCUCACUAAGUUGUCUUGAACUUGAGAUCUUCCUGCUACAGCCUCCCCAGUAGAUGUGAUUACAGGUGUACACCACUAUACCUUACAAAUUGAUUACUUUUUUAAUAUUAGAUAAAACUUACAUUCCCAGCAUAAACCCUGUUUGGUCAUGAUGUAUAUUAUUCUUUUCUAUAUAUCUGCUUUCUUGAGGCUUUCUAUUAAGACUUACAAUUUUUUCAUUUGUUUCAUAUAUAGUUUUAUUUUACAGUAUUGGGCAACCCAGAGGUACUCUAUCACUGAGUUACAUCUCCAGCUCUUUUUUUAUUUUGAGACCGGGUUUUUUUUUGUUUUUUGUUUUUGUAACUGUAUUGAACCCAAGGGAGCUUAAAUCAAGGCACAUCUCCAGCCCUUUUAAUAUUUUAUUUAGAGACAACUUCCCGCUGAAUUGCUAAGUUGCUGAGGCUGGCUUUGAACUCAUGAUCCUCCUGCCUCAGCCUCCUGAGCCAUUGGGAUUACAGGCAUGCACCACUGCACCCAGCUGUUGAGACAGGGUCUCACUAAAUUGCCCAGGCUGGCCUUGAACUUGAGAAAUCUUGCUUCAGUCCCCUGCUUCACGGAGAUUACAGGUGUGCGUCACCGUUCCCAGCAUCUUCCUGUGUAUUUGUAAUUACUUGUUGAAGCAUUUUUAUCAUGGUUGCUUUAAAAUGUUGUCAAAGUUCUAACAUUUCUGUUAUCUCUGUAUUGGCAUCUAUUGAUUGUCUUUUUCAUUUGAGAUCAUUCUGGUUCUUAGUAUGACAAGUGAUUUUAUAUGUAAACCUGGACAUUUCCAUAUUAUGUCAUGAAAUCUGGAGCUUAUUAAAUUUAGUAUUUAGCUAUCUUUCUUUGGCUAUCAUUCUGGCAGGGCAAGCAGGAGGAGGGAGGCCACUGCCUCAUCACUGAUUGUUGUAAAUAGAAGUCUAUGUUUUCUACUUGACUUCCACCAAUUUCAAUAGCAACUUACUGCUGCUGACUGGGACUGGGAGUUCCAUCUCCCUGUGUGGUCUCCACUGACCAUGAGUCAGGGCACUCAUUAUUGACCGCUGGAGAUUAAGUUCCGACUCCCUAUUUGGUUUGUGACACUACUCUUGUCAGGAGUGGCAGGUACCAUAUAACAAUCCCAUGAGGAUGGAACACUAGGCUUCCUACAUAGUCUUUACUGGUGGGCGAGGUUGAGAACAACCCUUAUUUCUCUUUCUUCUUCCUUUCUUUAUUUUUUGUAGCAUGCCUUUAUUUUAUUUUUAUGUGCUGCUGAGGAUCAAAUCCAGUGCCUCACACGUGCAAGGCAAGUGCUCUGCCACUGAGCUACAGCCCCAGCCCAAGAGAGCUACACAUUUUUCUACAGUGUUUGGAGUAGAAUGGUUAUCAUCUGAAAUUUUCCUGUCUUAUUAAAUUGUUCCUUUCUUGAUUGUUUGGCUAGAAUUUUUUAUUUGUCUUUAAUUAGAGUGUUCCCUUCUUGAUUGUUUGUUUUGUUUUGUUUUUGGUAUGUUUCCCAAGGAAUUUGUGGGUUCCUAACUUCUUCAGCUCAAAGUCUGAUAUAUGUGGGGAAAAAAGAAAAUCCAGGAAACUCACUGCUAUGUUAUUCUUUGUGUAUUAACUUUUAGCUCUCUGUCAUUUUCUUUCUACCUUUUAGAGUCUUCUUAUAUCUGUUUUGUACAUAAUGUCCAGGGUUUAGUUAUAGUUAGUGUUAAGAAUAGGGAAAGUAUGUCUAUACAUUUUCCCAGAAACAGAAAACCCCUAUUCAGUAAUUUUUUAAAUACUUUUUAGAUGUUGAUGGAUCUUUAUUUUAUUCAUUCAUUUAUAUGUGGUACUGAGAAUGGAACCC